UGACUUGUUUCCCGUGCAGAAGUUUGUAUGAAAAGUUAGUUUUUUGUUUAGAAUGGGUGUUUCUGCUUGAGUUUUGAUAUUUACAUAUAACUAUGCUAAUGAUUGUAGAACUAAAAUAUUGAAUGAUAUAGCUGAGGCUUUGGAUAGCAUCUUUCAUGACAAAUUUCUGUGUAGCAACAGCUAAAGUAAAUGUUGUUUGAUGUUGAUAGGUGUUUCUAGUGGAUUGGAUGGGGGGGGGGCGGGGACCUUCUGAUGUUAUUUAUCCAAGAACAGAGCAACAUGUGAAGGAUGUGGAUAUGAUAGCAGUGUUCUUGAUCCUAUUUGAGAUUUGUUCAUCUAUCAUGCUUCUUUUCAACCUGCUGCGCUGCUGUACAGUGGUUCCUAAAUAGUGAGCUAUAUUUGAUAUUAACUGAGAUGAGUGAUCACCCAAACUUGCUGUUUUCUUUAAUCAUUUGGUUCACGGAGAAUCCUAGCUUCAGUAAUAAGAGAAGAGAGGUGCAUCAUAUGAGCUGACCCCAAAAUAGUUGGGACAGAGGCUGGAUGGUUAUGGUUAGUUGUGUCGUAUAUCAGAUAAAUAUAUACUUAGAGGAACCAUAUAUUUGGAACUUGGAGCAUGUUAUUUUUAUAUAAGUAGCAUUUCACGAUAUUCAGUACAGCACAUAACAACAAAUAAAUGCAUUCCAAAUAUCUUUAAAAACUUACCUGUUCUCAGCACUGAUGAAAUUUAAAGAACAGCUUGGUUUAUGAUCAUCCAGUCAAUGUUUAGGGGGGAGAUUUUUAACUCUGUUUUGAGUAAUCAAUUUAUCUUUUAGAUAGUUAUGGUAUUGAAAUGAAAGGAUAGGUACUAAAUUGUUUUAUGCAUAGAUAGGGCCUAUGGUCAAGGGUUUGCUUGAGUUUGUGCAUUCAUGUGCACUUACCUAGCAACUUUUGGUCUAUAUAACAUAUAAUUUGCUUGAAGAAUCUGUAAAGGGUGAAUCAGACUAGAAUCAAGAUAAAAUCUCUUUUCUAGUUCUGGGUUCUUGCUAAAACAUUUAAAUUAGUUACCUUCAUCCCUUUCUCUCCAUCUGUUUUAAUUAAAUUCUUCAUGGCAGACAUAGCUUUGUUGUUUAUUUAAAUUAUUCAUGCCAGUCAUUGCUUUGUUGUUUAUCCUUCAAACGUCCGUGGACUAAAAAAGUUACAUUGACAUCCAUUGUAUCCACCAA